AGGGGGAUUGUUGGCGGAGGCCUGAGGGACCGAGUCAAUGUUGGCAGAGGCCUGAAGGGCCGAGUCAGUCCUGCCGCCUGCCAACGUGGAUGCGCUGGAGAAGUAGGGUGGGUUAUACCACUAGAGGUCCCUGAACCUACUGGCGAGACCCUGUCGGAGUCCAGAGUUGGGCGAGGCUUGGUCGAAGUCGACUCGUGGCGCUAUGGGCCCUUGCGCUAGUUUAAGGAAAUAAAGUUACGCCUUCACUAACACCUGCGGGUUUUGGUGUAAUGGUAGCGCUUGAUCCUGACAAAGAAGACCAGGAGAAGAAGACCUCGGUCUCUUCUUCGGCCAUGGGCUGA
rnacentral:lncRNA from 1 species